ACGCUGGCGGCGUGCCUAAUACAUGCAAGUAGAACGCUGAAGGAGGAGCUUGCUUCUCUGGAUGAGUUGCGAACGGGUGAGUAACGCGUAGGUAACCUGCCUGGUAGCGGGGAUAACUAUUGGAAACGAUAGCUAAUACCGCAUAACAGUAGAUGUUGCAUGACAUUUGCUUAAAAGGUGCAAUUGCAUCACUACCAGAUGGACCUGCGUUGUAUUAGCUAGUUGGUGGGGUAACGGCUCACCAAGGCGACGAUACAUAGCCGACCUGAGAGGGUGAUCGGCCACACUGGGACUGAGACACGGCCCAGACUCCUACGGGAGGCAGCAGUAGGGAAUCUUCGGCAAUGGACGGAAGUCUGACCGAGCAACGCCGCGUGAGUGAAGAAGGUUUUCGGAUCGUAAAGCUCUGUUGUAAGAGAAGAACAGGUGUGAGAGUGGAAAGUUCACACUGUGACGGUAUCUUACCAGAAAGGGACGGCUAACUACGUGCCAGCAGCCGCGGUAAUACGUAGGUCCCGAGCGUUGUCCGGAUUUAUUGGGCGUAAAGCGAGCGCAGGCGGUUAGAUAAGUCUGAAGUUAAAGGCUGUGGCUUAACCAUAGUACGCUUUGGAAACUGUUUAACUUGAGUGCAAGAGGGGAGAGUGGAAUUCCAUGUGUAGCGGUGAAAUGCGUAGAUAUAUGGAGGAACACCGGUGGCGAAAGCGGCUCUCUGGCUUGUAACUGACGCUGAGGCUCGAAAGCGUGGGGAGCAAACAGGAUUAGAUACCCCUGGUAGUCCACGCCGUAAACGAUGAGUGCUAGGUGUUAGACCCUUUCCGGGGUUUAGUGCCGCAGCUAACGCAUUAAGCACUCCGCCUGGGGAGUACGACCGCAAGGUUGAAACUCAAAGGAAUUGAC
rnacentral:rRNA from 1 species